AGUGAACGCUGGCGGUAGGCCUAACACAUGCAAGUCGAACGGCAGCACAGUAAGAGCUUGCUCUUACGAGUGGCGAGUGGCGGACGGGUGAGGAAUACAUCGGAAUCUACUUUUUCGUGGGGGAUAACGUAGGGAAACUUACGCUAAUACCGCAUACGACCUACGGGUGAAAGCAGGGGAUCUUCGGACCUUGCGCGAUUGAAUGAGCCGAUGUCGGAUUAGCUAGUUGGCGGGGUAAAGGCCCACCAAGGCGACGAUCCGUAGCUGGCCUGAGAGGAUGAUCAGCCACACUGGAACUGAGACACGGUCCAGACUCCUACGGGAGGCAGCAGUGGGGAAUAUUGGACAAUGGGCGCAAGCCUGAUCCAGCCAUACCGCGUGGGUGAAGAAGGCCUUCGGGUUGUAAAGCCCUUUUGUUGGGAAAGAAAAGCAGCAGGUUAAUACCCCGCUGUUCUGACGGUACCCAAAGAAUAAGCACCGGCUAACUUCGUG
rnacentral:rRNA from 1 species